GUUGUUACAGUAAAAAAUAUAACUUUUUUCUACUCGAAUUUUAUGUUUUUUGUCUGAUUUUAGAUCAAUUGUGUUAAUAGAGUAUGUCAAAAUGAAAACAUAACUGUAAAUUCAGACACGUGAGGUUGUGCUGAAGAGGAUGAUCCCAAACAAGAUGCUGGACCAAGACCCCAAACAAGGACCUGCAUGAUAUCAGGAGUUUUGUCCAGUAUCAUGUUCAGCUGGGAGGACAGGUGGUACCUCCACAAUCUCAAAGUUUUGCAGUGUACAGGACAGGCAGCACUUUGAGAGACUCAAUAUGAGUUCAAUCUAUGACUUCUAGUGGGCUGACAGAAGACAGUCCAGAUAAAAGAUGAAAAGGAUACAGGACUGGAAGGAGAGCUCAAGAGAAAAGUCACAUUGUAUUCUUUUUAAUUCUGGCACUGGAAAGCGAAAUGUUACACAUUUCUUGGAAACUUCAUGUUGACUUACUUUCCCUAUUUAUCUGUAUGUGUAACAUUUUUGUGUAAAAACAUUUGAUUUUCAGUUGACUCUUUUGAUAUAUUUUGGGGUGUCUCUUCUCUUUCAAAUUUAUAUUUUUUGUCAUAAAGGUAUUAAGAUAGGCUUUUUUUCCUUUAUUAUUUUCAUAAAAGCUGAAAUUGGAUAUAUGUAAGUUUUUCAAUAAACAUAAAAUGAGCGUAACAAGCAAGAAGGUCCUGAGUUUGAAUCCACCAUCUGGUCGCGACUUUUCCGUGUGGCGUUUGCAUGUUCUCUCCAGGUACUCGGAUUUCCUCCCACAGUUCAAAGACAUGCAGUUAGUGAUGUUUGUUGUCUUUUUCCAAAUGUUAAUGUAAAACAUGAAAAUUGUAUUGAACAUAUUAUACUUUUGUCUAUUGUCUAUUGGUUAACCUACAAAUUAUAAAUAAUGAAUAAUACUGCAUGCAUACUUGCGACAGACUGGUGACCUGUCCAGGGUGUUUCCCGCCUCACACCCUAUGACAGCUGGGAUAGGCUCCAGCACCCCCCGCGACCCUGGAAAGGAUAAGCGGUAGCGAAUGGAUGGAUGGACUGCAUUUUUUUCCUUUCUAACCAACUGUUUGUGUCAUGC